rnacentral:lncRNA from 1 species
GGUACAGCUGCUCGUCCACCUGCCUUGCCAAGGGCAAGAUCUCACAGGUCAAGCAGGGAGGGAACGUCAAGAGACCCUAGAAGGUCUUCUGACGAGAGCAGAAGAGGAAUAGGCAGAGGGGGAAGAUCAGACGAAGAGAGAGUUUCUAUGGAGGAGGAUCAGAGGAGAGAGGUCAGUAUGGGUAUAGGAAGGUCAGAAGAAG